AUUGAACGCUGGCGGCAGGCUUAACAAAUGCAAGUCGAACGAGUGGCGGACGGGUGAGUAAUGCUUGGGAAUCUAGCUUAUGGAGGGGGAUAACUACGGGAAACUGUAGCUAAUACCGCGUACCAUAGGCUGAGCCCAAGUGGGAUUAGGUAGUUGUUGAGGUACAGGCUCACCCAGCCGACGAUCUCUAGCUGGUCUGAGAGGAUGACCAGCCACACUGGGAUUGAGACACGCGACAGACUCCUACGGGAGGAAGCAGUGGGGAAUAUUGCGCAAUGGGGGCAACCUGACGCAGCCAGGCCGCGUGAAUGAAGAAGGCCUUCGGGUUGUAAAGUUCUUUCGGUAGCGAGGCGUUAACUACAGAAGAAGCACCGGCUAACUCCGUGCCAGCCGCCGCGGUAAUAC
rnacentral:rRNA from 1 species